UACAGAGGGUGCGAGCGUUAUUCGGAAUUACUGGGCGUAAAGCGCGUGUAGGCGGCCCGGUAAGUCCGCUGUGAAAGUCCAGGGCUCAACCCUGGGAUGCCGGUGGAUACUGUCGGGCUCGAGUCCGGAAGAGGCGAGUGGAAUUCCUGGUGUAGCGGUGAAAUGCGCAGAUAUCAGGAGGAACACCAAUGGCGAAGGCAGCUCGCUGGGACGUGACUGACGCUGAGACGCGAAAGCGUGGGGAGCAAACAGG
rnacentral:rRNA from 1 species